UGCCGAAACCCGGGAUCGAACCAGGGACCUUUAGAUCUUCAGUCUAACGCUCUCCCAACUGAAUUUGAGACAAUUGUAGU